UAAGAAUAUCCAUACGUAGUUCUUCUCUAGGCCAGUUCUUUGAAGAUAGCUAUAACAAAUAAGAAGCUUUUCUCAGUGGUCAAAUGGCACAACAUAUGGAUUGGGGAGAGAUUCUUGCCACAGGAAAGUUGCUACAUUUAAGGGCUUUUUGUAUGAAAUGGAUCCAGGAAGCCACUGGUUUUUGUGAAUUUUAAUGAAGAUAGCUCAAAAUUUCUACCUCCGAAGAGACAAGAAAAAAAUCUGCAAUACUAUAGCUAACAAGUGUAUUCCCAUGGGGACUAAGAAUUUGAUUCAAUUUAUUUAAUUGGAAAACUAAUGGAAAUAAAAGUACAAUUCCCAUAG